GACGAACGCUGGCGGCGUGCUUAACACAUGCAAGUCGAGCGGUAAGGCCCUUUCGGGGGUACACGAGCGGCGAACGGGUGAGUAACACGUGGGUGACCUGCCCUCAGCUCUGGGAUAAGCCUGGGAAACCGGGUCUAAUACCGGAUAUGACUCCAUGACGCAUGUUGUGGGGUGGAAAGCCUUGUGCGGCUGAGGAUGGGCCCGCGGCCUAUCAGCUUG
rnacentral:rRNA from 1 species